rnacentral:rRNA from 1 species
GCCCAGAUCGUUUACCGUGAAAAAAUUAGAGUGUUCAAAGCAGGCAGAUCCAAUUUUCUGCCACCGAAUACAUUAGCAUGGGAUAAUGGAAUAGGACCCUGUCCUCCUAUUUUCAGUUGGUUUUGGCAGCGCGAGGACUAGGGUAAUGAUUAAUAGGGAUAGUUGGGGGCAUUAAUAUUUAAUUGUCAGAGGUGAAAUUCUUGGAUUUAUGAAAGAUUAACUUCUGCGAAAGCAUCUGCCAAGGAUGUUUUCAUUAAUCAAGAACGAAAGUUAGGGGAUCGAAGACGAUCAGAUACCGUCGUAGUCUUAACCAUAAACGAUGCCGACCAGCGAUUAGGAGACGUUGAAUACAAAACACCACCAUCGGCGCGGUCGUCCUUGGCGUCUCGGUUUCGGCCGGGGCGCGGGGAUGGCUUAGCCCGG